GCCUACGGCCGACCCAGCCCGAAAGCGCCCGAUCCCGUCAGAUCUCGGAAGCUAAGCAGGUUGAGGCUCGGUUAGUACUGGGAUGGGAGACCGUCCCGGGAAUACCGGGUGCUGUAGGCA
ensembl:rRNA 5S_rRNA 5S ribosomal RNA